rnacentral:tRNA from 1 species
GGGUUGGUGGAAGGCUGGUUAAACCGUUUGGUUUUCGACCAACAGGACCUGGGUUCGAUUCCCGGAUUGGACA